rnacentral:lncRNA from 1 species
CGACCAAGAAAAUACAUAUUACAAACUACAACCCGAAUCCGAAAACAUACAAAUCGGAUCCCUCAUCCCGGUCCCCGCAUCUUCUCAACCAUAUGUCUCCCUUUCUCUUCAAUAUUCCGUCUCUUUUCUUCGAGUUUCUCCCCCAUUUUCUUCCGAAACCCUAACAUCUUCGCCCUCGUUCCCGAUCUCUUCAACUUAUUCUCAUCCGCCGUCUCCUUAUUCUCUUCCGCCACCGCCGCCUGAGGCGGUGACGGAGGUUGCGAACUCGGAAACCCAACGUUUUCUUCCACUACUGCCGCAUUUUGUUCCGUGCUUUCUAACAACGGCGUUUUCUCAUCAUUUUCAGUCGGUUUUUCAUCAUCAUCUGAUGAUGUUUGAUUGUGUGUGGUUUCUGUUGUACUACUGACGUCUUGUGGAUGAAUUUCGUCAGGAGGUUGGGGACAGGGGACCUCGUGUGAGAUUGUUGGUUCUGUGGGGGGCUCGGGGUUGAGUUCCGGGUUGGCCCAGAUAAAUGGUGCAGAUUGUUGUGGGAUCCAAUCAUUCUUUUCGGCUAACAUGAAAUGAACUGUUGCACUUUCGCAGUUGGGGAGAACCAUGGUUUCACGAAUGGCUCCCUGUGGAAGUUAUUCAUUAGAAAGUAUCCGACACUAUGAACAUGUCAUAUCUAUGGCUAUGUAGUUAUAGCGGUCCAAAAUCAAAUAGCGGUCAAGGAGUGAUAUUUGAGGUAUAGGUUAUCGCGGUGGGAAUGGGAUAAUAGGAUAUCGGUAAUUAUAAUAUCAAG